rnacentral:lncRNA from 1 species
UGGGGUUAUAAUACAGGAAUUGUGGGUAAGUACAGUCACUUCUGCUCCAUGAAAGUGAGGUCAUCAUUCGUUUCAGGAAGUUGAGUGAGGCCUGAGACAGCAAUGUUUCGUUUAGCCUGGCGGUGGCCCUCCUUGUCUUCAAGAAGAGCAUCCGUGGCUAGCAGUGGAAGAUGGGGUUGGGCCCCAGGGCAGAAGAUAUUUACUAAUUAGCACAUUCUGCUAGCACAUCUGUGGGAAAAGGUAGGAAGGAAGGAGGGAGGGUGGGAAGGAGGAAAGAAGAUCCACUCCUUAUACUGGAAAAAAAGGAGCAAUAUACUUUUCCUCAAAAUGAGAAGUCAAGCCCAAAAGAAUUCUGUACAGACCACCUUAAAAUAACAUCUUUCAAGCCUGUCUGCAUGAUUUAGUUGCUUCUUUUUUAAAAAAAAUUUAAUUUAUUUUUAUUUUGUAGAGACGCGAUCUUACUGCAUUGACCAGGAUGGUCUCAAACUCCUGGCUACAGGCUAUCCUCCUGCCUCUGUCUCCCAAAGCGCUGGGAUUACAAGCGUGAGCCACCAGGCCUGGCCCAAUUGCUUCUUAACAACUUACUAUUCUUUGUUCACUACAGUGUAUACAUAACUGACUUUUUAUUUGGAUCUUCAUUUUGUAAUGAAGGCUCUGGUCACAUGUAAGACUUGUAUUAAAUAAAUUUGCCUGCUGUUCUGUUAAUCUGUGUUAUGCUAAUUUAAUUCUUGAGCCCAGCUGGGUCCUGGAGAGGAUAGAGUGAAAUUUUGUGGCAGCUACGUAAGUCAAUGAAAUUGGAAACAGAAAAACAAUCUUUAAAAAUCAAUAAAAUCAUAAACUUAUUCUUUGAGAAGAUCAAUAUAGUUUAUAAACCUUUCAACUGACUCACCCACAGGGAAAAAGAAGAAAACAAAAAUCAGGAGGGAGGGAAUGUUAUUACAAAUUUUGCGGAUAUUAAAAGGAUUAUAAGGGAACAUUACAAACAACUCCUUGUCCAUAAAUUGAUCAAUUUACAUGACAUGGAAUAUUACUUGAAAGGCACAAACUACCAAAGCUCACUCAGGAAGAAUGGAUAACCUAGAUACUUGCGUGUAUGUAUGUGUGUGCAUACAUACAAUUUUUACACACACACACACACACACACAUAUAUAUAUAUAUAUGCACAGUUAAUUUUUUCUAUCUUUUGUAGAGAUGGGUUUUUACCAUGUUGCCUGGGCUGGUCUUGAACUCCUGGGCUCAAGCGCUCUGCCCACCUUGGCCUCCCAAAGUGCUGGGAUUACAGGCUUGAAACACUGCACCUGCCUGGCCUGAUAUAUAUUUCAAAACUGAUUUAAUAGAUAAAGCCUUCCAACAACAACAAUAAAAAAAACAAUAUUGAGAUGAAUUCAUUGGUGGAUUCUACUAAACAUUUAAAGAGUAAAGAUGUGAAUUUUAAAUAAACCCAGAAACAAAAAGAGAAGGGAACACCCA